CGCAUCUGUGCAUGCAGCAUAUCAAUAAGCGGAGGAAAAGAAACUAACAAGGAUUCCCCUAGUAACGGCGAGUGAAGCGGGAAGAGCUCAAAUUUGAAAUCUUAAAGGGUUUCCCUUUACGAAUUGUAGUUUAAAGAAGUGUUUUCUGUUGAGGUUUUGGUAAAAGUUCUUUGGAAUAGGACAUCAUAGAGGGUGAGAAUCCCAUAUUUGACCUUUACUUUCAACUUUGUGAUACACUUUCAAAGAGUCGGAUUGUUUGGGAAUGCAGUCCAAAAUGGGUGGUAAAUUUCAUCUAAAGCUAAAUAUUGGCGAGAGACCGAUAGCGAACAAGUACCGUGAGGGAAAGAUGAAAAGAACUUUGAAAAGAGAGUUAAACAGUACGUGAAAUUGUCAAAAGGGAAGCGUUUGACACCAGUGUUGUUUUUCUGAAAAUCAAUUAAAGAACUGUUUAUGCUAAGCUGUUUAGACUUUAUCAGCUAAUCUGUUUAGUUUUGAGCUUUUCUUUAAUGCACUUUUCAGUUAACAAGUCAACAUCAAUUUCUUUUGCUGUAAAAAAGCUUGAGGAAGGUGGCUUGAGAUUCGUCUUAAGUGUUUAUAGCCUCUUGCCUAUGCAGUCGGAGAGAUUGAGGUCUGCAGCGUAGAUCCUUCGGGGCUAAAUGCAUUUGUGCUAAGUUAUAACAUUUUAUAGACAACUUGUUGACUAUGAUUUGUCUUGUAGCUUACUCGCUUAUGUUAUUUUACCUACGCUUAGGAUGUUGACAGCAGUAUAGACUGU
rnacentral:rRNA from 1 species